GGACUUUUCAACGGUUUCCGCGCCGCAGCUAACGCAUUAAGUGCCCCGCCUGGGGAGUACGGUCGCAAGACUAAAACUCAAAGAAAUUGACGGGGGCCCGCACAAGCAGCGGAGCAUGUGGCUUAAUUCGAUGCAACGCGAAAAACCUUACCUAGAUUUGACAUGCUGGGAAAAGCCACAGAGAUGUGGUGUCCUUCGGGGCCCAGCACAGGUGGUGCAUGGCUGUCGUCAGCUCGUGUCGUGAGAUGUUGGGUUAAGUCCCGCAACGAGCGCAACCCUUGUUCUAUGUUGCCAGCACGUAAUGGUGGGGACUCGUAGAAGACUGCCGGGGUCGACUCGGAGGAAGGUGGGGACGACGUCAAGUCAUCAUGCCCCUUACGUCUAGGGCUGCACACAUGCUACAAUGGGCGGUACAGAGGGCUGCUAAACCGCGAGGUGGAGCCAAUCCCUAAAACCGCUCUCAGUUCAGAUUGCAGGCUGUAACUCGCCUGCAUGAAGUUGGAGUUGCUAGUAAUCCCGGAUCAGCACUGCCGGGGUGAAUACGUUCCCGGGCCUUGUACACACCGCCCAAUC
rnacentral:rRNA from 1 species